UUUUGCCUGCCUUCACAGUCCUACCAGCUUCACGGCUCUUCAUUACAGGGGGCAUUUAAGGGAAUAACAAAAAAAAAAUGCCUAUUUUGUGUACUUCGCAUGCACUAGGCCCAUUAUUAGGAUGUCAUUCUGUCUUCCCUGGGAUCAGUGAGUCUGAUUUAGCAGAAGCUUUGAGAAAUCACUAAGAAAAGAGAAUGAUUCAGACAUUCCUUUGUAACUCAUUAGGGUUUCUGGUUAUCACUGCUACUUCAAAGAAGGUUUUCUACUGAUUAUGAACAGCAGCUCACCAUCACCACAAACAGAAGCUGAACUGCUCUGAACUCCUAGCCUUCCAGAAGGUUUCAAUUUUGGGCUUUCGGGCCUUGUUAACUAAGUUUUACCCAGACUUACAGCCUCAAAAAAAGAUCCUGAUGUGGCACUGACCCACUGUGACCCACUGACAUGGUGUGGUCACCAUCAGAGGCAAAUCCAGGUUUGCUCUUCUCAUCAGAACUACCGGCCCACCACCUGGCGUCACUGAGGGUUGUAAGAACAUUUGCUACCCCUCUCCCCUUUAAUGGCAAAAUAUAAUGCUAGAAAAGUUGUGAUCAAGUAAGUUGUUCUUAUACCCUGGUGACAUUGUACACCAUCUCCAUUGUCUUAGUGAGCAAUGCAGAGCUAUACCAUAAGCAUCAUAUAGAUGUCAGACUCAUUCAAUGAAUGCUCUAUCCUCCUGGGAUUUUUUUUAGAAAGAAAUAGUCUAUAGUCUCACACACAUACAUACUACGCUACGUGUACAAAGAUGUUACUGUGUAAUAUACUAUGAUGUUUUAAAACCCUGGAAAACACUAUGUCCAAUAACAAGAGGAUGGUUUAGAUCAGCAUUUUUCAAACUUUUAAAUAUGAAGCACAGAAAUCCUUUGUUCUAAAAGUUGAUAGUUAAAACUGAUGAAAAAAGUACAACUGCUCCGCUUAAAGUGAGGAUUCUGGAGUCCUAACUGCAGCCUACCCAUGACUUCUUGUCUUCUCCUUGGUGAUGCUAGAGUUUCUCCUUGCAAAUCCCUAGUUUUGGACCAACCAUAGUUGAAUAACCACUGCUUUAAGAAGUUAUGGUAUAUACACAUAAUGAAUAGUUUGCAUGCAUUGAAAAUCAUAGUUAAGAUAGUAUAGCUAUAUAUAUGUGUAUAUGUGUAUAUAUCUAUAUACACAUGUGUAUAUGUGUGUAAUAUACAUAGCUAUAAAUAUACAUUUAUGGAUAUAUGCAUACAUAAAAGCAUAUACAUAUGUAUGUAUAUCUACAUAUACACACACAAACAUGUGCUUGUGGCCAACAUUUGGAAAGGAAUAUAUUAAAACAAAUGAAAAUAGUUAUGCUAGAGUGGAAAGAUUGUUUUUUUUUUUUUGAGAUGGAUUUUUGCUCGUCGCCCAGGUUGGAGUGCAAUGACUAGAUCUCGUCUCACUGCAAACACCUCCUCCUGGGUUCAAGUGAUUCUCCUGACUCAGCCUCCCAAGUAGCUGGGAUUAUAGGUGCAUGCCACCAUACCUGGCAAUUUUUGUGCUUUUAGUAAAGAGGGAGUUUCACCAUGUUGGCCAGGCUGGUAUCAAACUCCUGACCUCAGGUGAUCCACCCACCUUGGCCUCCCAAAGUGCUGGGAUUACAGGUGUGGGCCACCGUGCCCCGCCAGAUAGGUUUUUUUUCCCCCUUUUUUUCUUUUUUCUGAGAUGGAGUCUCACUCUGUCACCCAGGCUGGAGUGCAUUGGUGCAAUCUUGGCUCACUGCAAGCUCCGCCUCCUGGGUUCAAGCGAAUCUCCUGCCUCAGCCUCCCGAGUAGCUGGGAUUACAGGCACCUGCCACCACGCUGGGCUAAUUUUUGUAUUUUUUAGUAGAGACGGGGUUUUGCCAUGUUGGCCAGCCUGGGCAACAGAGCGAGACUCCAUCUCA
rnacentral:lncRNA from 10 species